rnacentral:rRNA from 1 species
CAGGCGGCUAGGAAAGAAGGAUGUGAAAUCCCAGGGCUCAACCUUGGAACUGCAUUCUUAACUGCCUAGCUAGAGUAUGUCAGAGGGGGGUAGAAUUCCACGUGUAGCAGUGAAAUGCGUAGAUAUGUGGAGGAAUACCGAUGGCGAAGGCAGCCCCCUGGGAUAAUACUGACGCUCAGGUACGAAAGCGUGGGGAGCAAAACAGGAUUAGAUACCCUGGUAGUCACGCCCUAAACGAUGUCAACUAGCUGUNGGGCCAAUAAGCUUUANUANCGCANCUAACGCGUGAAGUUGACCCCCUGGGGAGUACGNUCNCAAAAUUAAACUCAAAGGAAUUGACGGGGACCNCACAGCGGU